rnacentral:rRNA from 1 species
CACCUGAUCAGCAUGCCGCGUGAGNAAGAAGGCUUCGGGUUGUAAAGCUCUUUUGUCAGGAAGAAACACCGGCUCUAACACAGUCCGGGAAUGACGGUACCUGAAGAAUAAGCACCGGCUAACUACGUGCCAGCAGCCGCGGUAAUACGUAGGGUGCGAGCGUUAAUCGGAAUUACUGGGCGUAAAGCGUGCGCAGGCGGUUAUACAAGACAGGCGUGAAAUCCCCGGGCUUAACCUGGGAAUGGCGCCUGUGACUGUAUAGCUAGAGUGUGUCAGAGGGGGG